UCUAAAAUGGCAGAUUAGUGCAAUAAAUUUAAGAUUUAUAUAUAAAUAACUUUUUUUAGAA
rnacentral:tRNA from 1 species